UUCUUCAGGGCGGGGCGCAAUUCCCCACCGGCAGUAUAGUCUGCGAGCGGACGCGGUCCGCAGGAUUCGGUGCGAUUCCGAAACCGACGGUAUAGUCCGGAUGAAAGAAGAU
rnacentral:ncRNA from 1 species